GUGCUCACUUCAGCAGCACAUAUACUAAAAUUGGAACGAUAUAGAGAUUAGCAUGGCCUCUGUGCAAGGAUGACACAUAAAUUAGUGAAGCAUUCCAUACUUUU
ensembl:snRNA U6 U6 spliceosomal RNA